GUGGGGAAUUUUGGACAAUGGGGGCAACCCUGAUCCAGCCAUGCCGCGUGCGGGAAGAAGGCCUUCGGGUUGUAAACCGCUUUUGUCAGGGAAGAAAUCCUUUGGGUUAAUACCUCGGAGGGAUGACGGUACCUGAAGAAUAAGCACCGGCUAACUACGUGCCAGCAGCCGCGGUAAUACGUAGGGUGCGAGCGUUAAUCGGAAUUACUGGGCGUAAAGCGUGCGAAGGCGGUUUUGUAAGAUCGAUGUGAAAUCCCCGGGCUCAACCUGGGAACUGCAUUGGUGACUGCAAGGCUGGAGUGCGGCAGAGGGGGAUGGAAUUCCGCGUGUAGCAGUGAAAUGCGUAGAUAUGCGGAGGAACACCGAUGGCGAAGGCAAUCCCCUGGGCCUGCACUGACGCUCAUGCACGAAAGCGUGGGGAGCAAACAGGAUUAGAAACCCUAGUAGUCC
rnacentral:rRNA from 1 species